CGGCGGACGGGUGAGUAACACGUGGAUAACCUACCUAUAAGACUGGGAUAACUUCGGGAAACCGGAGCUAAUACCGGAUAAUAUAUUGAACCGCAUGGUUCAAUAGUGAAAGACGGUUUUGCUGUCACUUAUAGAUGGAUCCGCGACGCAUUAGCUAGUUGGUAAGGUAACGGCUUACCAAGGCAACGAUGCGUAGCCGACCUGAGAGGGUGAUCGGCCACACUGGAACUGAGACACGGUCCAG
rnacentral:rRNA from 1 species